ACGUAAUGGCGACAAAACACUUCCGGCCCCUGCUCCUCGGCCCCGUUCAUUUAUUAACUAUCAACUUCCGGUUGAUCCUUCUUUUCGGCAACGGCUACAAACUCGCCAACAUGCCACUCGCAAAGGACCUGUUGCACCCAACCUCAGAGGAGGAGAAGAGGAGUCACAAGAAGAAGCGUCUUGUACAGAGCCCUAACUCGUAUUUUAUGGACGUCAAAUGUCCAGGAUGCUAUAAGAUCACGACAGUGUUCAGUCAUGCCCAGACGGUCGUCCUGUGUGUCGGAUGCUCCACAGUCCUGUGUCAACCUACAGGGGGUAAAGCACGCCUCACAGAAGAUCGAUGUGCCUCAUCGUGGAGUCUGACAUUCACCGCAGCACCAUGGACUGACGAAGCAGACACAGGAGGAAUGUGUUAGACCCCCUGUUAAAUUACACAUUCGUUGUGAGAAAAUCGCAAAAAUAUGAUAAAUGGCUCAUUGGAGAGAAGACAACCUCUCGUGUUAUGACAUCGGCCCGUAUUCAAAUCUGACAUGUAUGACAGACGGUUUUGCAAUCUAAAAGUCAUAUUCCUAUUAACUUCCAGGGUAGUGAGAGCCUAUCAGUGCUACAUCAUACCAGCCUGAAUUUCUGGCUGCUUGAACGGCAAUGGCUCAGAUACACAUGAAAUGACCAAGGAUGCUCAUUCAGGAGGAAACAGCACUAGACUCUCAGCAAUGGAGCUUGUUGGACCGAGAGACCCAAUGGAGGAGAGACGGGAUUGACCCAACAGUGACCCUGCUCAGGAAGUGACAACGCGAGAGGAAAAGUGGAGAUGAAGAGGAAAGAUGGUGUUGAGCUCUGCUUUGUGUAUGUAGAGAGAGAACGUCCCCUGGCAUGAUGACAUCACUGUAACAUCACUCCACCGGUCUCUCACUUCUUAAUAAAGUUUAGUUUUUUCCUUUAAAGAAUCCAA